rnacentral:rRNA from 1 species
CAUGCAAGUCGAGCGGUAGCACAGAGAGCUUGCUCUCGGGUGACGAGCGGCGGACGGGUGAGUAAUGUCUGGGAAACUGCCUGAUGGAGGGGGAUAACUACUGGAAACGGUAGCUAAUACCGCAUAACGUCGCAAGACCAAAGUGGGGGACCUUCGGGCCUCAUGCCAUCAGAUGUGCCCAGAUGGGAUUAGCUAGUAGGUGGGGUAACGGCUCACCUAGGCGACGAUCCCUAGCUGGUCUGAGAGGAUGACCAGCCACACUGGAACUGAGACACGGUCCAGACUCCUACGGGAGGCAGCAGUGGGGAAUAUUGCACAAUGGGCGCAAGCCUGAUGCAGCCAUGCCGCGUGUGUGAAGAAGGCCUUCGGGUUGUAAAGCACUUUCAGCGGGGAGGAAGGCGUUAAGGUUAAUAACCUUGGCGAUUGACGUUACCCGCAGAAGAAGCACCGGCUAACUCCGUGCCAGCAGCCGCGGUAAUACGGAGGGUGCAAGCGUUAAUCGGAAUUACUGGGCGUAAAGCGCACGCAGGCGGUCUGUCAAGUCGGAUGUGAAAUCCCCGGGCUCAACCUGGGAACUGCAUUCGAAACUGGCAGGCUAGAGUCUUGUAGAGGGGGGUAGAAUUCCAGGUGUAGCGGUGAAAUGCGUAGAGAUCUGGAGGAAUACCGGUGGCGAAGGCGGCCCCCUGGACAAAGACUGACGCUCAGGUGCGAAAGCGUGGGGAGCAAACAGGAUUAGAUACCCUGGUAGUCCACGCCGUAAACGAUGUCGAUUUGGAGGUUGUGCCCUUGAGGCGUGGCUUCCGGAGCUAACGCGUUAAAUCGACCGCCUGGGGAGUACGGCCGCAAGGUUAAAACUCAAAUGAAUUGACGGGGGCCCGCACAAGCGGUGGAGCAUGUGGUUUAAUUCGAUGCAACGCGAAGAACCUUACCUGGUCUUGACAUCCACAGAACUUUCCAGAGAUGGAUUGGUGCCUUCGGGAACUGUGAGACAGGUGCUGCAUGGCUGUCGUCAGCUCGUGUUGUGAAAUGUUGGGUUAAGUCCCGCAACGAGCGCAACCCUUAUCCUUUGUUGCCAGCGGUUCGGCCGGGAACUCAAAGGAGACUGCCAGUGAUAAACUGGAGGAAGGUGGGGAUGACGUCAAGUCAUCAUGGCCCUUACGACCAGGGCUACACACGUGCUACAAUGGCAUAUACAAAGAGAAGCGACCUCGCGAGAGCAAGCGGACCUCAUAAAGUAUGUCGUAGUCCGGAUUGGAGUCUGCAACUCGACUCCAUGAAGUCGGAAUCGCUAGUAAUCGUAGAUCAGAAUGCUACGGUGAAUACGUUCCCGGGCCUUGUACACACCGCCCGUCACACCAUGGGAGUGGGUUGCAAAAGAAGUAGGUAGCUUAACCUUCGGGAGGGCG